CACACCGCCCGUCGCUACUACCGAUCGGAUGUGUCAGUGAGGCGUUCGGACUGGCCCUGGGAGGUUGGCAACGACCAUCCGGGGCCGGAAAGUUCGUCAAACUUGCGCAUCUAGAGGAAGUAAAAGUCGUAACAAGGUCUCCGUAGGUGAACCUGCGGAGGGAUCAUUACCGAGCGCGCGGCCCUCAGGGGCCGUCCUCAAAUCCACUGUGUACCGCACCUCUUGUUUGCCUCGGCGGGCCUGGUCCCUGGCCCCCCUCCCUCGCGGGCCAGGUCCGCCGGCGGCCCACCAAACCGGUCUGAAGAACAGCAUUCGGUCAGGCCCUCUGGGUUUGAAUUUGGCACAACUUUCAACAAUGGAUCUCUUGGCUCCGGCAUCGAUGAAGAACGCAGCGAAAUGCGAUAGCUAGCGUGAAUUGCAGAUUUCAGUGAAUCAUCGAGUCUUUGAACGCACAUUGCACCCCUUGGCAUGCCUUGGGGUACACCUGUUCGAGCGUCGUUACAACCAUCGUGCCUGCGGCGCGGUAUUGGGGUGCGUCCUGCCUGAGGGCAGCGGCGGCUCUGAAAUGUAUCGGCGGCUUUGCCACGUCCGCGGCGCUGUAGCAGGCGUCUCCGCGGGCAGGCAGAGGCCCGCCGUUAAACCGGUACCUUGCGUACCUUCAGGUCGACCUCGAAUCAGGUGGGGAUACCCGCUGAACUUAAGCAUAUCAGUAAGCGGAGGAAAAGAAACCAACCGGGAUUGCCCCAGUAACGGCGAGUGAAGCGGCAAGAGCUCAGAUUUGAAAUCUGGCCCCUCUGGGGUCCGAGUUGUAAUCUGGAGAGGAUGCUUUGGCGAUGGCGCCGCCCCAGGUUCCCUGGAAUGGGACGUCGUAGAGGGUGAGAACCCCGUACUUGGGCGGACGCCUACGCCGCGUAAAGCUCCCUCGGCGAGUCGAGUUGCUUGGGAAUGCAGCUCAAAUUGGGAGGUAAAUUCCUUCUAAAGCUAAAUACCGGCCGGAGACCGAUAGCGCACAAGUAGAGUGAUCGAAAGAUGAAAAGCACUUUGGAAAGAGAGUGAAAAAGCACGUGAAAUUGUUGAAAGGGAAGCGCUUGCAGCCAGACGUGGCCGCCGUUGCUCGGUGGGGCCCCGCGCCCCGCCUACGCUUCGGCGGGCAGGCCAGCGUCGGCUCGGGCGGCGGUAGAAGCGCGUGGGAACGUGGCUCCCCUAGGGGAGUGUUAUAGCCCGCGCCGGAUGCCGCCCGCCUGGGCCGAGGUCCCGCGCUUUUGCGAGGACGCUGGCGUAAUGGUGGUAAGCGGCCCGUCUUGAAACACGGACCAAGGAGUCUUACAUCCGCGCGAGUGUUCGGGCUUUGAACCCCGGACGCGCAAUGAAAGUGAAUGGAGGUGGGAACCCUUAACCGGGCGCACCAUCGACCGAUCCAGAUGUCUUCGGACGGAUUUGAGUAUGAGCGCGGAUGCGGGGACCCGAAAGAUGGUGAACUAUGCCUAAGCAGGGCGAAGCCAGAGGAAACUCUGGUGGAGGCUCGCAGCGGYUCUGACGUGCAAAUCGAUCGUCAAAUUUGGGUAUAGGGGCGAAAGACCAAUCGA
rnacentral:rRNA from 1 species